AGUGAACGCUGGCGGUAGGCCUAACACAUGCAAGUCGAACGGCAGCACAGUAAGAGCUUGCUCUUACGGGUGGCGAGUGGCGGACGGGUGAGGAAUACAUCGGAAUCUACUUUUUCGUGGGGGAUCACGUAGGGAAACUUACGCUAAUACCGCAUACGACCUACGGGUGAAAGCAGGGGAUCUUCUGACCUUGCGCGAUUGAAUGAGCCGAUGUCGGAUUAGCUAGUUGGCGGGGUAAAGGCCCACCAAGGCGACGAUCCGUAGCUGGUCUGAGAGGAUGAUCGGCCACACUGGAACUGAGACACGGUCCAGACUCCUACGGGAGGCAGCAGUGGGGAAUAUUGGGCAAUGGGCGCAAGCCUGAUCCAGCCAUACCGCGUGGGUGAAGAAGGCCUUCGGGCUGUAAAGCCCUUUUGUUGGGAAAGAAAGGCAGCAGGUUAAUACCCCGCUGUUCUGACGGUACCCAAAGAAUAAGCACCGGCUAACUUCGUG
rnacentral:rRNA from 1 species